ensembl:lincRNA
ACAGAGAAAAGUCAAUCCACGGAUGUCACUGAGGGUCGAGAGGAAAGAGGAAGUGGGCGGCCACAGCCUGAUGGUAAUGUUUGGGAGUUAGGUGUGGGUUUGUAGUUUUAACUAUUUUCAGAAUUGGAAUCGAGCUUUGUGUCAUUUUGCAUCUGUGAGGGUCACCUGGACUUUACGGCCAUCUCCAAAGAUUUUAGACCGGGCAUCUCAAUGUUCAAAAGUUUCUCCCUCCAGGGUGUGCUGUUUAGCAAUUGUGAUAAAACCUAUGUAAGGAUGUGUUACUAUCAGUUAUCAUCCAUCUUGAUUUAUAUUUUUAGCUGAAAUUUUUUUUAGCAAAAAUAAUAAUUUUAAAGUAUGCAAACUGCAUUUCUGUAUUUUAAAAAGCCUGGCUAAAAGUAAAUAAUUCCUAAUUGGUAAAGUGCCAAAGUCUAUUUACUAAUGGCAUUAAAUAUUUCUAAGAAAUGUUGUUUUUAAAGGGUGAAUUAGCUAUUCAAUUCUCCAUGACCAGGGCACUUAAAAUGAUAAUAAAAGAACACCCUGAUGUAGGAAGGUGUGGCUCAGUGGGUAGAGUGCCAUCCUGGCUUGAACAAGGCCCUGGGGCCAGGCAGAAUAAGACAGGAAGACCAGUGCUGGGUGGUGGUGGCAAACGCCUUCAAGCCCAGCACGCCGCAGGCAGAGGCAAACAGAUCUCUGAGGGUCUCAUGUAGGCUUAGGCUGGACUCAAAUUCAGAAUGUUGUAGCUAAAGAUAAACUUGGUUCUGAUUCUUCUGCAUCGACUUCCCCAGCCCAGCAAGUGCAAGCUGCAAGUGAGGCUGGGUGGGGAGCAGGGGAGUCAUGCAUGCUAGGGAAACAGUAAGAAGCCAGCUCCAUCCCACAUUCUUCUUUUGAUUUGAUUGCUGUUGGUGUUUGUGUGAGAGGCUUGAACUCACCCUGCCAUCCUGCCUCAGCAUCCCAGUGCUGAGGUUAUAAGAGCCAUAUCUCGCUUAGCGGGAUUAUUAAAACAGUCCCCGAUUACAGCUAUUCGGUUCAAAAUGAAAUGAAUGUGGGCAAGUAAUCACAGGUGUAAUGUAAUGUAAUGGUGGCACUGGACUAGAGUCACCUUUGGGUGGCACAGUGGAAACAGCUGAGCUGUGAGGGAGAACUGGGCUCUCUCUCUGCUGGUCCCCCAGUCUCACCUUGAGGACGCUUGAGGUGACGGUACAGGGGACGAGGCAGCUCACCAGUAAGUUCUUCGAAACUGUACCCACGACAACACUAAAUGCUAAGUCUCAGAAUGAGCAGUGUGUGACCGACGUUCCACUGUGCAAUGUCCCAUUUAACCCUGAGCCAUCUUCUUCCCCUUGUGACAGAUGAAGAUAACGUCUAAAUCACACCAAAAUUCAACAGACACAACAGCUAUACAAUUCAGUGAGCAUCCAUACAGUUGGAAUGGGCAUCGGAGUGGAAACUGAAAUUUCACACUACAUUUUAUACUUUAAGAACCAACUCCGUUCUAUGCUCCUACCCACUAUUCAAACAAGAAAGAGCUCCAUGACGGAGCGAGCACUAGAAAGGUGACUGGCUUUAUAUCCUCCGACAUAAGUGGGUCGAUUUCUUGCAGUCAGCUCUGCUUACCUUUGCUGUGUGUUGUUUUUAUUUAUUUUCAAGUUUUUAAUUAGGAAGGUUUACGAAAUUAAAAGUAAAAUAAUUCAAACAAACAAGCCUACGAUGAGCAAAUCACUCCGUUCUCCUUGCGGCACAGUGCAAAGAGAAGUGCAGUCUCGGGUCGGCUGGGAUCCAGUCGAUGGACUGUGACUUGCUGACCUAGGUUCUGCCUUUAGAACACUUCCCAGGUUUGUUCCGUGACUGUAUUGGCUGACAAUUUAAUUCCCUCCAUUUGGAAGACAGAGAUGGCCAGUUGAGCCAAGACCGCUCUUGUCCCUGCACCAGCCACAUCCGGUACUCGCUUCCUUCUUUGCCUUUGGCCUUCGAGGUCCUCAAGACCAGGAGCACACGUUUCCUGUUCUGUCUUUCCAUGUCACCGAGCAUGGGGAAGGCUGUCAGCAAACAUGUGGGAAAUGUGAAAAAGUAGGGGGCAGGGGAGGGACAAGGGAGGGGACAGACUGACAAGGACCAGCGGAAACCACCUGCUGAGUUGGGGGUGACACACUUCCAUGCUGUGCAGACCAAGUCCUCACAGCUUCAUCUAAACCGGAGUCCUCACUCCCCUGGUACCAAUUAGCAUUGUGGCAGACACGGAAAGCAAGACGAUACUAACACAGACCCAUUGGCAUUAAACACAAAAGGCUGAGUAGUCAAUUAGGUAGCUAGUUGGCAUUUACUGACUCCAUGCUAAACCCAAUGAGUGCUAGUAGUUUUAUGACCCUGGGACAUAACCCAUAUUACAUUUGCUUUUGUUUUCUUCAAAAAAAGGACCUACUCAUUUUAUGUGUGACUGGUGCCUUCAGCUGUCAGACAAGAGCAUGUGGUCCCCUGGAACUGGAGUUAUGGACGGCUGACUCACAGGUAGGUGCUGGGAAUUGAACUCAAGCCCCCGGCAGGAGCAACAAGUGCUCUUUAACUGCUGAAGCAUCUCUCCAGACACUCAUUUCAUUUUCUAAAUAGUUGCAAAUGAAGGUAGCUUCAGAUUCCCACCUUCACUUCAGGUUCACACCUUCACGUAUCUGGAAGAUCAGAGAAGUUUCCAGAAAUUUGCAGUCCACAAGGUUAAGGAGAGCCUCCAGCCUUCAGCUCUUCAGUCCUUUCUUCUCCAAAGUACCAAGACCUUCAAAAUGCCCCACCAUGAGCCUUAGACACAAGCUAUGUUCUUCAGCGUCACACAUCUUACUGUUGGGCUCCGAGACACUCAACGGUGCAGGAAGAGGCACUGCUACCUCAGGGGUACUGAGGUACUCAGACGACCACUUCGUGGGAUUUCAAGAGAGGGUAUCCAUUUGGUUUCUUUCUGUGAUCAAAAUCCCCCACUACGAGAGCUGGCCUACCAUAUAGGUGGGAGGAGAAAUGAUUCAGUUUUGUUUUUCCCCAAAGCUGUCAACUAUUUGAAAUUUUUACUUAAUCCAUAUAAGUGCUAUGCAUUUAUGAGAUGCCAUGUGAUAUUUUAUACUUUUAUGUACUUAUUCUGCUGUGUUUAAUAAAGGGUAAACAUAUCUACCCCUUCAAACUUAAAUAUAUUAAAAUAGUCACCUACUGUGCAACCAAACACCAG